AAUCAACGCUGGCGGCGUGCCUAACACAUGCAAGUCGGACGUGAAAGGGGUUUCGGCCCUGAGUAGCGUGGCGGACGGGUGAGGAACGCGUGGGUGACCUGCCCUGCAGAGGGGGAUAACCCUCCGAAAGGGGGGCUAAUACCGCAUGAGCCCGAGAGGGGAAAGACGGUGAGUCGCUGCGGGAGGGGCCUGCGUCCGAUUAGCUGGUUGGUGGGGUAAGAGCCCACCAAGGCGACGAUCGGUAGCCGGUCUGAGAGGAUGAUCAGCCGCACUGGGACUGAGACACGGCCCAGACUCCUACGGGAGGCAGCAGUAGGGAAUAUUGGACAAUGGGGGCAACCCUGAUCCAGCCAUGCCGCGUGAGUGAAGAAGGCCCUCGGGUUGUAAAGCUCUUUUGUUGGGGAAGAAAAGCAUUUGGUUAAUACCCGAAUGUUCUGACGGUACCCAAAGAAUAAGCACCGGCUAACUUCGUG
rnacentral:rRNA from 1 species